rnacentral:rRNA from 1 species
GACGAAGGAUGCAAGCGUUAUCCGGAUUCAUUGGGUUUAAAGGGCGCGUAGGUGGCCUUAUAAGUCAGUGGUGAAAUCUCUGGGCUUAACCCAGAAAUUGCCAUUGAUACUGUAGGGCUUGAGUACAGUUGCCGUUGGCGGAAUAUGACAUGUAGUGGUGAAAUACGUAGAGAUGUCAUAGAACACCGAUUGCGAAGGCAGCUAACGAAACUGUAACUGACACUGAGGCUCGAAAGUGCGGGGAUCAAACAGG